rnacentral:rRNA from 1 species
AUUGAAUGCUGGCGGCAUGCCUAACACAUGCAAGUCGAACGGUAACGACCCUGUGAAGCUUCGGUGGAACAGGUGGGCGACGAGUGGCGGACGGGUGAGUAACGCGUAGGAAUCUGCCCUAAAGUGGGGGACAACCCGGGGAAACUCGGGCUAAUACCGCAUAUGCCCUACGGGGUAAAGAAGGCCUCUAUACUAUGCUUUCGCUUUAGGAGGAGCCUGCGUCGGAUUAGCUUGUUGGUAGGGUAAUGGCCUACCAAGGCAACGAUCCGUAGCUGGUCUGAGAGGAUGACCAGCCACACUGGGACUGAGACACGGCCCAG